rnacentral:tRNA from 1 species
GCGUGGUAGCCAAGUGGUAAGGCAAUGGUCUGCAACACCGUGAUCACCGGUUCAAAUCCGGUCCGCG